rnacentral:misc_RNA from 1 species
GAUGAAAACGCAGCGAAAUGCGAUAAGUAGUGUGAAUUGCAGAAUUCAGUGAAUCAUCGAAUCUUUGAACGCACAUUGCGCCCUUUGGUAUUCCUUAGGGCAUGCCUGUUCGAGCGUCAUUUAAACCUUCAAGCUAAGCUUGGUGUUGGGUGACUGUCCGCUUCACGGCGGACUCGCCUCAAAAUUAUUGGCGGCCGGUACAUUGGCUUCGAGCGCAGCAGAAACGCGAACUCGGGCCCGUCGUAUUGGCUCCCAGAAGCUAUCUUCACAAUUUUGACCUCGGAUCAGGUAGGGAUACCCGCUGAACUUAAGCAUAUCAAUAAGCGGAGGA